rnacentral:pre_miRNA from 1 species
AUCCACCACACCACCUGCUGGCCCCAGGGGUAAAUUACUCUUAAAGGAAACAAAAAGGAAUCCUAGAUAGUGUUCCCUUCAAGUCAAGCAUCUUGU